GUGGCUCACGCCUGUAAUCCCAGCACUUUGGGAGGCCAAGGCAGGUGGAUCACGACGUCAGGAGUUCAAUACCAACCUGGCCAAGACGGUCACAGGAACCUCAAGUAUUUCACAGAAUGAUGCCAAGGAGCGCAGUUUCUACACCAUCCCUCCCGAUCAGACCACAUCUAUUCCAAUCUCAGUCUCAAACUCUUCCCCUUUUUCAACUCACAUUAAUGAAUUCACUAAGUACCUAGCACUGAGAAUAAAAAGCUAAAGCAGCA
rnacentral:lncRNA from 10 species